ACAUACAAACCAUUUUUGCCUCUUGGCAUCCCAUCAAAAACUCUUUUCAAAAAUGAAAGAUAUUUCGUCUCAAGACGAUGCAAAACAAUGCUUCAUCCACUUAUAUGUGAGUUGAGAUAAUUGACGGUUUCCCGUGAAUGUUGAUAUGUGGAAAUCCGUUCAUGCAAACGCUUGUUCCUCAAAACAUUUUGGAUAAUCAUUGUUUUCCGCCGAUUGUGACAAAAUAAAUUUUGCUAAAAU
rnacentral:lncRNA from 1 species